CAAGAUCAUUACACGGUUAAUAUAACUGGAACGGAAUGAAUCAAAUAUCUAAUGCCAAAGUUAAUACAUACUCAUUAAUCGCAGAUUAACGACGACGUGGUGCAAUCCUAUCGACCGACCACUUACCACAAAAAGGGUCACACGAGGUGCAGCCACAGAAAAUCUUUAGAUGUGAGAUCUGGUGUGGCUAGCAUCUCCUUUCUCUCCACCAACUGCUCACUCCUUCACAAUUCUCUUCUCCCUCGUCUGCUGCGCACGCACGAACUGAAAUGGUUGAUUCGAUUUAUGAGUUCCGUGCAUAGGGGGUGAAAAAUGAAAGAAAAUUGGAUGCUUUUCCGUUGUCUGGGGAUAGUCCCAAAAGGAGUAGCAAAUGAUUUUUAAUAAAAUGCUUUUGGAUUCAAUCGUGCUCCAGCUGCAAAAUGAUUUUUACUGUAUGCAUACGGACCUACGAAUGGGGCUGGAGGUUCGAUGUAUCUUCCUGAGGCCAGGGAUCUUCUACUACAUCUGGAAGUCGCAUACUGCUUUAUUGGUUGUUCUCUCUUCAACCUUCCAUGUGCCUCCACUCCAUUCUUCAAACGCAACGACGCAAGGGGACGGGUGGGACUGGCCUGGUCGGGGCUCGGUGCUGGGCUUCGGCGCAGGUGUCGGGGAGCCGCGGCCAGGGGCAAGAACGCACACGCACGUGGGGGCUGGGGGCUCCAUGUGGUCUGCGUUGCAGGGAGCAGGCACUGACCAUGGUGGCAAACCCGCAGCAGCUAGCUACGGCGGAGCGGAGCGGGAGCGAGAUAGACGAGGGAAGGGGGUAGACGACCUCACCUCACCAGACCAUCACGAUGAAGAACGGCGAGGGAAAACAUGGACAGCAGGUCAGCGAAGCUCCGGUGGGGAAGGUGCUUGGCGUCGGGGUUUCUUCGACCGCUCGCCGGAGCCGGGCCACGCCACGCCGAGCUGCGCGCAGGAGAGCCAAGGGCGGAGCUGCGCCGCCGGAAAGGGUUGGUCGUGCCCGAGGGCAGGGAGGCGCUAGAGAGAGGGGAGCGGGGCGAGGGAGAUGCAGGGGUUGUUCAAAUGGUCGACAUGGGUGGGCGGUUGGUGCUUUUCUACAUCUGGGCAAGAUGGACGGGGACAGACAGUUUUGAGGGAGAUAACAAAUGGGCCCCAUGGCGCAGUACCACGCCCCAGCGAGGGAGACUGCCCGGUAGGGCCUGGGGCAAGGAGCACCUAGGCACAGCUGUGCCAGCACGCUCGACACGCGACGUGGCUGGGCCACAGGGCGUGGGAGAUGGUCACUAAAUUUGUUGUAGAUCGCGUUCUAGUCGAGCGAGACGGUUGCACGAGACAGUGUAAGACGGAGACAGAGUUAGACGUGUGGUAGACAUGGUUAGAUAAAAUUAGACGAAGAUAGUCGGAGGCCCACGGGCCCAGGAUGACGAGAUAGAUGUCGGAAGAGUAGAUGGGGAUAGACGAGAAUAACCGACGCGAGCAGCAUGCCGUUCGCGAGAAAAAGUGGUUCAGUGAUCUCGCGAGAAAGGGCACGUGAUCUGGAACAAGCCUGACGAGAGGAAGAAAAAAUACAUAUAUUAUCAAGUUUUUUGGAAUAUUUUAGUUUUCGUAAAUACUAAAUUUUAGAGAUAAAAAUAAUACCAGAGAAUCUAGAUUUCAGCUUAAUACUCGAAAAAAGUUUCGAAUGGUUAGAAAAUCCCCCAAAACAUGCUCGAGAUAAUUUUACAUAUUUCGAAAACUUUUUGCACUCAUAAACAUUAUGCAAUGGCAUGAAUGCAACAAUCAAAGCUUCUCUAUGAUUUUAUUCUACUAUGCUAAAACUUAUAUAUAAUAAAAUAACUCUCCAUUAUUUAGAAAAAAAGAAAAGAAAAGCAAGAAAAAGAGAGGGUAACACCUGAAUUUGGUGAAUAUUAGAAAAGAAAUUUUAUACCCCUAAAUUCAGGGUGUUACAAAUCUAACCCGCUUAACAGAAUCUCGCCCUCGAGAUUCAAGAAGAGGCUAGCAAGAAAAUAAGAUUGGCUCAUUGGUUUUUCAUAGUUUGUUCUAACUCAACUUUAACUCUGCCAGCUUUAACUUGCGCACUGGUUGCUUUAACCUUCAGAUGUUCACGACCCACUGAUGCAAUUCUUAAGGAUCUCUUGGACUUGUGGGUUAGGACCCACUCACGGUUUCUCUGCGCUACUCUGAUCUUGUUGGUUGAUGUUAAUCGCAUUGCCAUAAUUGGGGUUAGCGGCUAACCCCCUUAACAGGAGCAUUGAUACGCACUUGGGGAAGAUGCUGCCGACUCUGAUCUUGACUGAUUAAGAGAGGUUGUAGGAUGUCAAUCGAACAGGUGCAAGUGGGAAGGGUAUAUAUAGAAAAGGUAAGCAUAGAUGGAUUAAAGAGAGAAAAGGGAGAGCACCCAGCUACCUUACUCUAUGGCAAUCCGCUAGUAAAAUGAUGUCAUUGCGGACCAAGGGCCACAACACAUCAACACUCAUCACAAAAAAGCAAACCAGUCAUAACAUACAAACAAACAUCACAAGCAUACAACAACAAACAUUUCGUUGCUAUAUGUUCCUUUUAAUUAAAUGGUGGACUUUCUUAAGAAGGGAAUAACUACUCUCUAAGGUUGUCGAAGGAGGAGGAGAAGAAUAGUAUGUGCAGGAUAGGGGCAUGGGCACAAUAAAGGAUGGAGUUAAAGCAAGCAAUGUAAGCGACUAGGAUAAGGAUACGACCCAAGGCAUAAUGGGCAGAACACCACUCUCGAGUUGAUAUAGAAAAGUAGAGGUUCCAAAAAGCAGACCUAAGAUAAGCAUCGAGGCAAGAUCUAGUGAUUACAAAGGUAAGGGUGGUGUCAAUAAAAAGCUAUGACUUGCAAUUCAACAGAGAAAAAGGGAACGACCAAGAGCAGAAUGGGUAAGAUAACACUCUUGAACUAAAACGGGAGAGGAGGCUUUAAAAUGCAAUGCAGGUGUAGGAUAAGCAUCAAGGUAAAGAUCGAGGGAUGACAAGGGUUAAGUGAUAACAAACAAACGCACAGCAAAAGGAUGUAUUUUAGAUAAAAUUGCAAGGUGUCAAAGAAGGCGAUCAGUCAAUGAUGAAAUAGAUGAGGCCUUAUCCUCGAACAGGGAUGGAAAAGAGGUGCUUUGAAGGGUAGGUUCAAAGUAAGCAGAAAGGCAAGGGCAUAUAUAUAUCACGAGGGUUUUAGAGGUAAUAACAGUCAAGGAUGUAGGGGAGGAGGUAAUAGGCAUAAAACAAAGGAUAUAAGUACCAUACAAGAUGGAGUUAAGAUAGGACCUGUAAAUGGAAAAGGUGAGAAUACGUCCAAGGGCCAGAUAGGUAAACUGCUACUCUCAAAUUGAGGUGGAAGAGAGGGGAUUUUUAAAGAGUAGAAAUAAAGAUGAGUAUCAAGGCAAGAUCGAUGGACGACAAGGUGAGGGUUAUAGAAAAUAAAAACACCUCAAGGGAUAGAAUUAACACAAAACUUGUAAGGCGACAAGAAGUGAAAAGAAAUUAAGGGAGAGGUAGGUACCUCGCAACUCUCAAACUGGGUUGAAAUAAAGUGGAGGCUUUCAAAGGACAAGUUUAAGGUAAGCAUUUAGGUAGAAGACAUAAAUAUCGCAAGGGUCAAACGAGAUAACAGACAAGGGUAUGAGAGAACAGAUGAAGGCAUAGAAGAGCUUGUGGUAUGAGUACAACAAAGAAUGGAGUUGCGCCCAAGCUUACACUUGGUAAAGAAGAGGAUAUAGCCAAGUGUGAGGUAAGUAAAAAAAUCGCUCUCAAAUUGGAAUAUGAAGUUGGAGAUUUUAGAUAACAGACAUAACGUAAUCACCAAGGUAAGAUCAAGGGGUGAGAAAGGUAAAGGUAAUAGCAAACAAAAGUAGGCAAAGGAUGGAGUUAAAAACUCGCAAGGGACAAAGAAGAUGAUAUGCCCAAGAGAAAAUAGGUAAAACAUACAACUCUCAAAUUGAGAUGGGAGAGGGGAGACUUUAAAGGGUAGGUAUAAGAUGAACAUCAAUGCAAGAUAUAGAAGUAUCAAGGGUAAAGGUGAUAAUCAUAAAGAGCAUAGCAAAGGAUGGACUUAAGUCAAGACUCGCGAAAUGGCAAAAUGGAGAAAACAAUCACUGGUAAGGUAGGUAAGGUUCCAACAAAAUGGUUGAAGUAAAAGAAAUUAUUACCGAGGGAAGUUAUAUGGAAACGAUGAGAACGUUAAGGAUGUGAGGAAUAGAACGAUCACUCAUAGAUCAUGAGGAAACAAAGGUGGUCAAGAGCAUGUAAAUUGAAAUGUCUUAAACAAACAUUGGGGUACAAAGGUAAGCAUUUAUAUAAAAAGUAAGAGUAUGCAAGAUUCCGAAGGUGUGAGCAUACUAAGACCAAGGGAGUACGAAUAGCCGAAAGAUAGUGACUUAACAACAGAAUAGGAAAGGGUCUCAAAAGACAGGAUGAUCAUGGACAUAUAAACUGAAAUGUUUAAGUAGGCAGUAGAAAUUCAGAGGUAAGUAUUUAAAACAAGGGUAUUGAAGAAUCCGGGGAUACGAGCAUGUCAAUACCAAUGGAAUAGAGAUUGCUAAAUGGUGGCAAUUUAAUGACAGAAGAGGAAACAAUCCGAAAAACAAGAAGGUUAUGGUCAGGGGGCAUCUACAAAGAUGUCACAAGCACAAGAGCAAGAUCAGAUCUAAUAGAUUGAGAGAAGUAUAGACCACACUAGGAUAAAAUACUUUUGGCAAGGGGGCAUAUAGGAGCACAACAUAGAAUUAGUCGAGGUGACUAAUAUUUUGAAGCAGAAUCAAGGAUGAGGUGAAGUAACAGUCAAUAAGUCCUUAAAACGGUCAAUGCUACUCUAGGCUAGCGGUCCUACAGUCAGCACGGCUUUGAUACCACUUAUGUCACACCCGGUUUUAGAAGGCAAACCGAAUGCGAACCAUGUACGUGCCAGGAUCAGCAAUUCACGUACACAACAGUUACAUAACUGGACAUCAUCACACAGUGCUCAAAUAAUAACAUAAAAGGGUAAUAAUAGUCGAUUACAUCAUAUGUCUGAGACAUCCACAUAGUCUUUACAAUAAUCAAAGUGCGGAAAAGAAACAUAGAUACACGCGGCCUUCACAGGCAGCCGACUGGGGGUUGCCGCUAACCCACGCCUAAAUCUCGUCGUAAUAUUAGAACUCCUGGAAGUCUCCUUCUACGGCUUCAUCUUCUCCUGAGCAGUGGUUGCAAUGCAGACAACCUGGGGAUGGGGGGUUUGGUGUGUAGAGCAAGGGUGAGUACACAUCAACAUACUCAGCAAGUGUCCUGUUUGGUUGUAGUGGACUAGCUUUAUGUGGGGCUAAGUCAAGCAAUUGCUUUUAGUUGGUCAGAUUAUUAUUACUAGUAGAGAAAGCCAAGUUUUAGAAUUAACCCACGUUAUUAACCCAAACGUACCCUUUCCAAACGGAAAGAAUACCACUUACUGUUACCAUAGUUAAUGCCAAACCAUCAUUCUCAUUGCCACCUGUAAUCCGAACAUCUCUGAUCAAGUGCCACUAAUCAAUGGAGCUCCCUUGGCCGCUCAUAACCGCGAGCACGGCUGAUAUAUCAGUUUCAUAACACUCUGCAGAGGUUGUGCACUUUACCCACAAGCCGUGAUUCCCUCUUGCCUCGGGCCGAUCAAACCCUUAAACACUACCAAGGUGAAUAGGCAGGGUCUCACUACGUAGCCUUUACAAAGAUUCCCUGGGGUUGUAGCCGCCCGUUAGGUUUCCUAAAUGCACCGCACUCCUCCUCAAGGGGCGAACCAACCUUAGCAGAGCGAGCCGCAUACACCGAGCCCCAUUAACGGCACGACGGCGAAGCGAACUACACCCCAGUUCCUCUAAUUACUCAGCUAAGGGCAUCCCAUUCCACCCUUAUGGUUGCACUGUUUUCCCGGGCGGUCAUCCAACGAACAGGUCCUUACGGAGAAGCACUCGAGAAACCGCUCGAGCCCCCUUAAAUGCCACAAGUAUAUCAUAAUAAAGAAGGGAAACAGCGUAUCAUUGAUAAAUCUCAUCAUGUUCAUUGAUUAUGGUUAAGCACUAGCAUAAAGCUAAACCAUAAUAAUCCAACCCAAAUAGGUAAACAAGGACAUGGAUAACAAAAACUAGUCAAUCCUUAGGUAUAACUGUGUAAAUGCGGGAAUUGAAUUAUAGAAUGUAUAGGACAAAGAUAGGUCAAGGGACACUUGCCUUCACCAAACAGAUGCUCAGGGUCUUCAUCCUCGUAGAACUCGAAGAGUUCGAUCACUUGGUCGCCAAGCUUGAUCAUCGAUCCCUCGAAGCUCGGAAACGGAUCACAGUCUAUUCGUGACGCACAGCGAAUACAAACAGGCACAAACAAACAUAUAUAUAUAUAUGCAUAAGAACAUUACACCAUUCAAAUAAAAAAAUAACAAAAUAUGCAAAACGAAGUAGAGUGCGUUACUACGGUCACACGAGGAAAAGAAGCGUCGAAAUCGAAGCUAUGGUCAAGAAGUUAACGGGUUUACGCUAAACAAAUACUAAUUAAAACAUUUGAUUCGACCUGAUUAUAUUAAUCGAUAUUUAUUAUAUAAGCCUAAGUGGAAUACUACGCAUUUAAUCUAGUUAGAAUGUUAAUCUAAUAAAUAUUAGUCGAGCGAACCUUAAGUUAAUUAUCUAAAACAUAUGACCUGACGAAUUAACGUUAUUAACAUGAGUAAUUAUAAGCAAAAACAAUUUAUUAUCACACACAGACGCCGCACGACCCACGUGAUCGACACGCGAGAUACACGCUAACGGUCCACGGUAAGGCAAACGACACGAGUAAAUGACACACGCGACGCACACACACGACGUAUGACAACGCGGGCGAACAGCACGCGCGACACGUGCUAACCAACGUGACUACGCGCGCGAACAGCUCAAUGACGCGCAUACGAUGUCGCGCGCGAACAAUGACAAAUAAAUAAUUAAAUAAAAGUAUUUAAGCUGGUAUUAAUCAAGUUAAUUAACAUUUAUAUUUAUAAAAGCAUGAGUUAAAACUAUAGACUCGUUCUAAUUAAAUUGUUAUUUUAAUAACCCUCAAGUAAACCAAUAAUUAAUUAUUUAACUAAAACAUGUGUGGUAACAACAUAAUAAUUUUAACGUGCGUACAAGAUCAUUACACGGUUAAUAUAACUGGAACGGAAUGAAUCAAAUAUCUAAUGCCAAAGUUAAUACAUACUCAUUAAUCGCAGAUUAACGACGACGUGGUGCAAUCCUAUCGACCGACCACUUACCACAAAAAGGGUCACACGAGGUGCAGCCACAGAAAAUCUUUAGAUGUGGGAUCUGGUGUGGCUAGCAUCUCCUUUCUCUCCACCAACUGCUCAC
rnacentral:lncRNA from 1 species